UAACUCUAGGGCCUUAUCCAGAACUCAUUGAACUCAGUGGGAGUCUUUCCACUGUCUUCAAUGGGAUUUGGAUCAGGCCCACAUAUA
rnacentral:pre_miRNA from 1 species